UAAAAAUCAGACAUUAGAGGUGCCCUUUAAAUAAAGGGAGAAUAGGGAACUGGGUGAGAAUCCCAGACGGACCCACCACUGUAAAUGAGGAGACUUAUAUAAAGCCACUGGGUGACCGGGAAGGUGUAUAAGUUGAUGAUUCUAAGUCAGGAGACCUGCCUAUAAUGUAGAACAUGA
rnacentral:ncRNA from 2 species